rnacentral:rRNA from 1 species
GGCAUCGGGAAGGUAGCUUGCUAUCUUUGCCGGCGAGCGGCGGACGGGUGAGUAAAGUCUGGGGAUCUGCCUGAUGGAGGGGGAUAACUACUGGAAACGGUAGCUAAUACCGCAUGAUGUUACGCGACCAAAGCGGGGGACCUCCGGGCCUCGCGCCAUCAGAUGAACCCAGAUGGGAUUAGCUAGUAGGAGAGGUAAUGGCUCCCCUAGGCGACGAUCCCUAGCUGGUCUGAGAGGAUAACCAGCCACACUGGAACUGAGAGACGGUCCAGACUCCUACGGGAGGCAGCAGUGGGGAAUAUUGCACAAUGGGCGCAAGCCUGAUGCAGCCAUGCCGCGUGUGUGAAGAAGGCCUUCGGGUUGUAAAGCACUUUCAGCGAGGAGGAAUGAAGCAAUGCAAAGAGUGUUGCUAAUGGACGUUACUCGCAGAAGAAGCACCGGCUAACUCCGUGCCAGCAGCCGCGGUAAUACGGAGGGUGCGAGCGUUAAUCGGAAUUACUGGGCGUAAAGGGCACGUAGGCGGUUUCUUAAGUCAGAUGUGAAAUCCCCGAGCUUCACUUGGGAACGGCAUUUGAAACUGAGAGUCUAGAGUUUUGUAGAGGGGGGUAGAAUUCCAGGUGUAGCGGUGAAAUGCGUAGAUAUCUGGAGGAAUACCGGUGGCG